UACGUAGGCAGCGAGCGUUGUUCGGAGUUACUGGGCGUAAAGCGUGCGUAGGCGGUGUUCCGAGUCUGUUGUGAAAUCUCCCGGCUUAACUGGGAGGGUGCGGCGGAAACUGGAACGCUGGAGUAUGGGAGAGGUAAGCGGAAUUCCUGGUGUAGCGGUGAAAUGCGUAGAUAUCAGGAGGAACACCUGCGGUGUAGACGGCUUACUGGACCAUAACUGACGCUGAGGCACGAAAGCGUGGGUAGCAAACAGG
rnacentral:rRNA from 1 species